GAUGAACGCUGGCGGCGUGCCUAACACAUGCAAGUCGAACGGAAAGACGAUGAGCUUGUGCCGUUCACGUUAGCGGCGGGCGGGUGAGUAACACGUGUAUCACCUACUUAUAUUUCGGGGAUAAUUACGGAAAAGCGGAUCAUAUACCGUAGAAUAUAUUGAACCGCAGGGUGCAAUGGAUAAUGUCGGCUUUUGUGGCUGUAAUAGCUGCUUCCGCGCUGGAUUGGCUGGUUGGUAAGGUAACGGCUUACCAAGGGGACGAUGCGUGGCCGACCGGAGAGAGUGAUCGGCCACACUGGAACUGAGACACGGUCCAGACUCCUACGGGAGGCAGCAGUAGGGAAUGUUAGGCAAUGGGCGGAAGCAUGACACAGCAACGCCGCGUGAGUGAUGAAGGUCUUCGGGUCGUAAAGCCCUCUUAUUGGGUAAGAACAGCUGUGUACGUAGAUAUGGCCGUCUUGACGGUACCUAAUCAAAAAGCACCGGCUAACUACGUG
rnacentral:rRNA from 1 species